GGGCCGUUAGCUCAGCCGGUAGAGCACCUGCCUUUUAAGUAGGGGGUCGCAAGUUCGAGUCUUGCACGGCUCA
rnacentral:tRNA from 1 species